ACGGAAGGCAGCAGUGGGGAAUAUUGCACAAUGGGCGCAAGCCUGAUGCGGCGAUGCCGCGUGAGGGAAGAAGGUUUUCGGAUUGUAAACCUCUGUCAACAGGGACGAAAAUGACGGUACCUGUGAAGGAAGCUCCGGCUAACUACGUGCCAGCAGCCGCGGUAAUACGUAGGGAGCAAGCGUUAUCCGGAAUUACUGGGUGUAAAGGGAGUGUAGGCGGGACUGUAAGUCAGAUGUGAAAUAUGCCGGCUCAACUGGCAGACUGCAUUUGAAUCUGCGGUUCUUGAGUGAAGUAGAGGUAAGCGGAAUUCCUAGUGUAGCGGUGAAAUGCGUAGAUAUUAGGAGGAACAUCAGUGGCGAAGGCGGCUUACUGGGCUUUGACUGACGCUGAGGCUCGAAAGCGUGGGGAGCAAACAGGAUUAGAUACCCUGGUA
rnacentral:rRNA from 1 species